UUACCCGCUGAAUUUAAGCAUAUCACUAAGCGGAGGAGAAGAAACUAACCAGGAUGCCCCUAGUAAUGGCGAAUGAAGCGGGCAGAGCUCACGCCGCCAAUCUGGAGGUGUACUUCACAUCACCCCCCGAAUUGUAGUCUAGAAAGGCGCCAUCGGCCGCGUCCGCCGCUCAAAUCCCUUGGAACGGGGUAUCGGAGAAGGUGAGAAUCCUGUGCCGUGGCGGUUCGCGGUCGCACGAUGCGCCCUUGCAGAGUCGGGUUGCUUGGGAUUGCAGCUUGAAUUGGGUGGUAAAUUCCAUCUAAAGCUAAAUACUGGCGAGAGACCGAUAGCGAACAAGUACCGUGAGGGAAAGAUGCAAAGAACUUUGAAAAGAGAGUUAAAGAGUGCUUGAAAUCGGCAAGAGGAAACCCGUUUGCGCCCGGCUUCGCGCCGUCGACUCAGCCUCGCUUCUUGCGUGGUGCACUUUGUCGGCGCGGGUCAGCUCGCGCUGGGUGGGCGUCACACACGGCCGAGUGGGGCUCCGGCGAGCUCGGCUGGAUGGCGCGCGCCUGGCGCCGGCUGACGGAACGGGCGCAACCGACCCGUCUUGAAACACGGACCAAGGAA
rnacentral:rRNA from 1 species